rfam:Tyto alba contig297, whole genome shotgun sequence.
UAUAAGGCCCUUUUAAGGGCCACAAUAAGGUUUUCCGGAAGUCUCCU